rnacentral:rRNA from 1 species
GGCCGAUUAGCUAGUUGGUGAGGUAACGGCCCACCAAGGCGACGAUCGGUAGCCGGCCUGAGAGGGCGCACGGCCACACUGGCACUGAAACACGGGCCGGACUCCUACGGGAGGCAGCAGUGGGGAAUUUUGCACAAUGCCCGAAAGGGUGAUGCAGCAACGCCGCGUGAGGGAUGAAGGUCCUCGGAUCGUAAACCUCUUUCGACCGCGAAAAAUGGGCGGGUGUAGAGCCCGUCCUGAUGGUACCGGUGGAAGAAGCUCCGGCUAACUUCGUGCCAGCAGCCGCGGUAAUACGAAGGGGGCUAGCGUUGCUCGGAAUUACUGGGCGUAAAGGGCGCGUAGGCGGACAGUUUAGUCAGAGGUGAAAGCCCAGGGCUCAACCUUGGAACUGCCUUUGAUACUGGCUGUCUUGAGUUCGGGAGAGGUGUGUGGAACGCCGAGUGUAGAGGUGAAAUUCGUAGAUAUUCGGCAGAACACCAGUGGCGAAAGCGACACACUGGCCCGAUACUGACGCUGAGGCGCGAAAGCGUGGGGAGCA